GAGUUUGAUCGUGGCUCAGGAUGAACGCUGGCGGCGUGCCUAAUACAUGCAAGUUGAGCGCUGAAGGUUGGUACUUGUACCGACUGGAUGAGCGGCGGACGGGUGAGUAACGCGUGGGUAACCUGCCUCAUACAGGGGGAUAACAGUUAGAAAUGACUGCUAAUACCGCAUAAGACCACAGUACCGCAUGGUACAGGGGUAAAACUCCGGUGGUAUGAGAUGGACCCGCGUCUGAUUAGCUGGUUGGUGGGUAACGCCUACCAAGGCGACGAUCAGUAGCCGGCCUGAGAGGGCACCGGCCACAUUGGGACUGAGACACGG
rnacentral:rRNA from 1 species